rnacentral:sRNA from 1 species
AAAAAGGUCUUCUUUGGUGCUUGGGUCAAGUGUUUUCUUCGGAUUUUAGUUUGUAUGUUUCUAUGCUUAGGUUUUGGUUUCGAUCUCUUUCGAUUUCGGCUUUUAAAUUUCUGUUUAUGUUUCUCUUUCAUACGAUUUUAGACUUCGGGAAAUUCACGUUUUUCUCCAGCUUUAGUUUCCGAAAACUUUUCUCUCGUCCGUCGGCUUUAGUUUCCGAAGAUUUUUCUUUCGUCCGUCAGCUUAACUUCCGUUAUUUGGGAUUUGUAUUUCACCUUAGUUUCAAAACAAGUUUCAUAAAUAAAAUAUUUCAGAUGAUAAAAAAACAAUUCAUAAUUCGGAAAUA